UGAUAUUACAAGCCAUCGUGUUUUUAAGUUGCGUAUUACUACCAAGAAUCCUUACGUCUCCCUCAAUCGCUAUAGGAAUAGACAAGGAUGCAAGACACCUUAGGAUUCAAUACAGUUUGACACCUCGUCUCAAUUUUUUACAAGAUUUUCUGCUAAGAAACAGAUUUGAGCAUGGUGGAGGUGCGAGUAUAUGGACGGAAGAAAGAUGUAACGACCAUAACUAUAUUACUAUUGUAGAUACAAUCAUUUAAAUAAAUAAA